UGGGGAAUUUUGGACAAUGGGGGAAACCCUGAUCCAGCCAUCCCGCGUGUGCGAUGAAGGCCUUCGGGUUGUAAAGCACUUUUGGCAGGAAAGAAACGUCAUGGGUUAAUACCCCGUGAAACUGACGGUACCUGCAGAAUAAGCACCGGCUAACUACGUGCCAGCAGCCGCGGUAAUACGUAGGGUGCAAGCGUUAAUCGGAAUUACUGGGCGUAAAGCGUGCGCAGGCGGUUCGGAAAGAAAGAUGUGAAAUCCCAGAGCUCAACUUUGGAACUGCAUUUUUAACUACCGGGCUAGAGUGUGUCAGAGGGAGGUGGAAUUCCGCGUGUAGCUGUGAAAUGCGUAGAUAUGCGGAGGAACACCGAUGGCGAAGGCAGCCUCCUGGGAUAACACUGACGCUCAUGCACGAAAGCGUGGGGAGCAAACAGG
rnacentral:rRNA from 1 species